UUCGGGAAUUUUGGGCAAUUGGGCGAGAGCCUGACCCAGCAAACGCCGCGUGAAGGAUGAAAUCCCUCGGGAUGUAAAUUUCGCAAGAACGGGAAGAAUAAGUAGGGGACAAUACCCCCUAUGAUGACGGUACCGUUUGUAAGCUCCGGCUAACUCCGUGCCAGCAGCCGCGGUAAUACGGGGGGAGCAAGCGUUGUUCGGAUUUACUGGGCGUAAAGGGCGCGUAGGCGGUCAGCACAAGUCAGUUGUGAAAUCUCCGAGCUUAACUCGGAAAGGUCAACUGAAACUGUGCGACUAGAGUGCGGAAGGGGCAACUGGAAUUCUUGGUGUAGCGGUGAAAUGCGUAGAUAUCAAGAGGAACACCUGCGGCGAAGGCGGGUUGCUGGGCCGACACUGACGCUGAAGCGCGAAAGCCAGGGGAGCGAACGGGAUUAGAUACCCCGGUAGUCCUGGCCCUAAACGAUGAAUGCUUGGUGUGACGGGUAUCGAUCCCUGUCGUGCCGAAGCUAACGCAUUAAGCAUUCCGCCUGGGGAGUACGGUCGCAAGGCUGAAACUCAAAGGAAUUGACGGGGGCCCGCACAAGCGGUGGAGCAUGUGGAUCAAUUCGACGCAACGCGAAGAACCUUACCCAGGCUUGAACAGCGAGUGACCACUCCCGAAAGGGAGCUUCCGCAAGGACACUCGUAGAGGUGCUGCAUGGCUGUCUCAGCUC
rnacentral:rRNA from 1 species